rnacentral:rRNA from 1 species
UACGUAGGGGGCAAGCGUUGUCCGGAAUCAUUGGGCGUAAGGAGCGUGUAGGCGGCCCGGUAAGUCCGCUGUGAAAGUCCAGGGCUCAACCCUGGAAUGCCGGUGGAUACUGUCGGGCUCGAGUCCGGAAGAGGCGAGUGGAAUUCCUGGUGUAGCGGUGGAAUGCGCAGAUAUCAGGAGGAACACCGAUAGCGAAGGCAGCUCGCUGGGACGG